CCCAGUCUAGAUGAACAAUACACCAGGAGCUCCUUCAACAGAAAUUCGACCGUGUAGUUUUAUUAUAGUUCUAUUUGUAGUUUUCUCUAAUAAAGCUCUUGAUGAAUGAUGAAUACGGUUUCAGAGCGGGACAGACUGAGGUUAUUGUUACAAUGUAAUCCAGCCAGUGCGGUCUGCGCCCCGCUCCAUCUAACACGCCUCCACAUGGACAUGCACACACAUUCAAUUUUACUGAAAUAAGAAAAUUGUCCAGCUCCAGUGUGCCACUCGCUCACCACACUACAGAUUAAUAUCCACUCUAAUGAGCAACAUCCUAAAGAUCACACUAUGGAACAUAUUGGCCCCAUCUACCAGAGUGGAGGCCCAUGAUGGGCAUGGCAGCCUUGAAUUUUAAUCCACCCAUCUAUUGGACUUCAUCUAAAAGCAGAGAUGGUUUCCUCAGGCUUCUUCCUCAAGGGUGUGUCCUCCUGUAUGUCUAUGAAUCACUGAUUUCAUCAGUCUCUCUUGCUCAUAUGGCCCCUCCCCCAUCACCAUUGCACCUCAGUCCCUGGGGCCGUUUGUCUGGGAUCUGCCAGGCUCAUCAGUGGAGGAGAGGAGAAGGCUAACUGGGAGGCAGUCCUGGCUGUAAAUCUGACCAGAGGGAGUGAAUCCUGCAAUGGACACACUUCAGACAGCCCAGUUACAAGACCCUCCAACAUGCAGAGGCAAACAUUCCAGUAUGAACAGCACUGCGGCUCAAGUGUUCACCCCCAAACACCUUUACACAAAUUAGCCAAACUUGUAUGAACCUGAGCUUCAACAACAAUUUAUGAUUUUUUUUAAAAUAAUUCCUUCACAUAAUAAAAUGAUCAAGAACAUAUAUUUUCAAAAGUUAUAGCACAAUUACAACUCGGAAUUGGAAAUAAGGAACAAUUCAUAUUCAAGUGCAGAAUAAAAAGAUGCAGAUGCUGUGUUUAGGACUACACCGCAGUGGGGUGGGACCUUGCCUCUCAUACUUACAUUUCGCCGCAUGUGAUACUAUUGCAUACACAUAGGCAUGCACCCUCCCUCUCCUUAUUUGAGAAAUAAGCAUUUUUACAGAGUUUGAGCUGUAAAAGGAGAGGAGCAGAUAGCCCAUAAAUCUAGCCAUAAAAAACGUUAAGUUGUCAGAGGUGCCAUCAGCUAUCAAUCGUGUGCGGCAAGCUGAUGAAGGGGAAAUAGGUGAUAAAAAACAGCAUUUUAGGGAAAUUAU